rnacentral:sRNA from 1 species
GCCAGGCGUGGUGGCUCAUGCCUGUAAUUCCAGCUAUUUAGGAGGCUGAGUCAGGAGGACUGAAAGUUUGAAGCCAGACUGGGUGACUUAUCAAGACCCUGUAUCAA